GGCCACCACUCGCUUGCACCCGCCCGUUCACUCGCCCGACAGCGCCGCCGCCUGCCCCCCCACCGCCAUGGGUCGACAGAAGGAGCUGGUGAACCGCUGUGGGGAGAUGCUGCACAUUCGCUACCGAUUGCUUCGCCAGGCGCUGGCGGAGUGCCUGGGGACCCUCAUUCUCGUGAUGUUUGGCUGUGGCUCCGUGGCCCAGGUGAUUCUCAGUCGAGGCACACACGGUGGUUUUCUCACUAUCAACCUGGCCUUUGGUUUUGCUGUCACCCUGGGCAUCCUGGUAGCUGGCCAGGUCUCUGGGGCCCACCUGAACCCAGCUGUGACCUUUGCCAUGUGCUUCUUGGCACGGGAGCCCUGGAUCAAGCUGCCCAUCUACACCCUGGCUCAGACACUGGGUGCCUUCCUUGGUGCUGGGAUAGUUUUCGGGCUCUACUACGAUGCAAUUUGGAACUUUGCUGACAAUGUGCUUAUAGUGUCGGGCCCCAAUGGCACAGCUGGCAUCUUUGCCACCUACCCCUCUGGACACUUGGACAUGGUCAAUGGCUUCUUCGACCAGUUCAUCGGCACAGCCUCUCUCAUUGUGUGUGUGCUGGCCAUUGUUGACCCAUACAACAACCCUGUGCCCCGGGGCCUGGAGGCCUUCACAGUGGGCCUUGUGGUCCUGGUCAUUGGCACUUCCAUGGGCUUCAACUCUGGCUAUGCUGUCAACCCUGCCCGAGACUUUGGCCCCCGCCUUUUUACUGCCCUAGCUGGAUGGGGCUCGGAAGUCUUCACGACUGGCCGGCACUGGUGGUGGGUGCCCAUUGUCUCGCCACUCCUGGGCUCCAUUGCAGGUGUCUUUGUGUACCAGCUCAUGAUUGGUUGCCAUCUGGAGCAGCCCCCACCACCUGUUGAAGAGGAGAAUGUGAAGUUGGCCCACGUGAAGCACAAGGAACAGAUCUGAGUGGGCUGCGUUCAUCCCCCCACUGUCCCCCUCCCCUGAGCAUCCAGUGACUGUGUGGGAGCCCCCUCAUGAUUCCCCUUACAGGAAUAAGAAGCUCCCUGUCCACCCUACCCCUGUGGAUGGCUCCUUCUAGGAUUCUGCCCCAUAGGACCUUAGGUCACCACUGUGAGCCUGGGUGGGAAGGGAGUAGGGCCAGACUUGGUUAUGUCUCCCAAAGGGAAAGAAUGAGUAACAGUGCUGUGUGUGUGUGUGUGUGUGUGUGUGUGUGUGUGUGUGUGUGUGUGUACAUUCAUACGAGUGGUUUCCCAGAUAUUCAGGGUAAGGGACCAAGCAUUUGGAAAGGAGCUUAGUGGUUCAAGUGGUCCAGAAGGAAGAAGGCAAUGUAUCAACUUGAGGGAAGAAAGAGCCAGGGUACGUAUAUUCUAGGCCUCUAUGUGGAGGAAGAUCCAGACCUCUAUGAUUCUUGAGUGUAUCUGGGUCUUCCAUUUUUUCCCCUAAAUAGGGCUUCUCUAGGCUUUUGGCAGAUGAAAUUGAGAGGACAGAAACACAGCUCAGAUCAGGGGCUCUUAGAUCUGGGGCAGAAGCUGUGUAACAUGUUUCUGUCAUUAUGUCAUUGUGUGUGUGUGUGUGUGUGUGUGUGUGUGUGUGUGUGUGUGUGUGUGUGUGUGUGUUGCUAAGAAUUGAAUUCAGGGCCUGAUGCAUUCUGGACAUAAGCCAUAUUAAUGAGUUACACUCCAGCCCAUCAGAUAUAUAUUUUAAAGGCAUAGAGGAGCUGAGUCCUGGCUGAGAGUGAGAGUAGGAGGCACUAAGGGUGGAGAUGGUUGGAAGCUGGUGGCAAAGGUGGGUCUCACCUGGGUGUUGGUCUCCUGAGGCCAUUGCUGUGAGCUUGAGUUUCCCAUUGAGCUGGCUCAACAGGUCACAGGAGGUGAUGAGUGACUCACCUCUUUACCCUUCAAUGCUCUUGUUCAGGAAGGGGACAGGGGUACACAGAAUGCAGCUCCUGUGGGUUCUUCUGUAUGGGCACACAUGCUUUGUUACACACCUGGGACUGAGAUGCAUGACUAGUCUGACUGCACAGGAAGUCCUCGCUGGGAAGGAUGCCUGUGACAAGGCAGAGGUGGUGUGAGUGAGCACAUAGUACUUCCAGGAGCACAUGAACAGGGGUGGAAGUGCCACAUGAAAGAGGGGUGUACCUUCAGAGCCCAGUGAGAAAGGAGGAAGAAGACUGGCUGGUGAUGGGAGUGGGGGUGGACCUUGACAGCUCAUUUUCCCCAAGAAGGGCUAGUUCCGCUGGCAGAGCCUGGUGCUCUAAGUCUGGGAUGAUGGUGG